UAGGAACCAAAAACUCUUGGUGCAAAUCCAAGUGGCAGCU
rnacentral:tRNA from 1 species